AAUGCGAUAAGUAGUGUGAAUUGCAGAAUUCAGUGAAUCAUCGAAUCUUUGAACGCACAUUGCGCCCUUUGGUAUUCCAAAGGGCAUGCCUGUUCGAGCGUCAUUUGUACCCCCAAGCUUUGCUUGGUGUUGGGCGUCUUGUCUCUAGCUUUGCUGGAGACUCGCCUUAAAGUAAUUGGCAGCCGGCCUACUGGUUUCGGAGCGCAGCACAAGUCGCACUCUCUAUCAGCAAAGGUCUAGCAUCCAUUAAGCCUUUUUUUCAACUUUUGACCUCGGAUCAGGUAGGGAUACCCGCUGAACUUAAGC
rnacentral:misc_RNA from 1 species